GACAGAGGGUGCAAACGUUGUUCGGAAUUACUGGGCGUAAAGCGCGUGUAGGCGGCUUUGCAAGUCGGGCGUGAAAUCCCACGGCUCAACCGUGGAAGUGCACUCGAAACUGCAGAGCUAGAGUCCUGGAGAGGAAGGUGGAAUGCUUGGUGUAGAGGUGAAAUUCGUAGAUAUCAAGCGGAACACCGGUGGCGAAGGCGGCCUUCUGGACAGUGACUGACGCUGAGGAGCGAAAGCUAGGGGAGCAAACGGG
rnacentral:rRNA from 1 species